UUUCUGUAUGUCUGUAUCAGUGUCUCUGUGUCGCAUCUUGUAGCGGCAGAUGGCCGCCCACCUAGAGUCUAGGUCUGUCUGAGUGUUCUGCCCGUUUAAAGGAGGUUUAUUCUCGCAACAAAUGCUUGCUCUCGGGGGUUGGGAUUGUUGGCUCUCUGUAAAUGAUAGAGUGUCAUCUAGACCUACUCUAUCUGUAAAGUGUCCUGAGAUAAAUCCUGUUGUGAAUUGAUACUAUAAAUAAAAUUGAAUUGAA